GGGGACGAAAUGGUUUCGACGGGGUAAGACCGUAUAGGGAAGCGAGCCGAGGAUUUCGCAACCUCGUAAAAAAGCGAUACAAUAAACAUAAACGCAGAAGAAAAUUACGCAUUAGCUGCGUAAGAUAACGCAGCCGUCCUCUUAUCAGUCUGACACUUACUGGUAAGAUGGAUGUCAUCACUAAGUGUCUUACAUUGUAGCUUUAUCAUUCGGGCUACAGUGGAAAUUUUAGAAUGAUAGAUUACAAAGCUUCGCCCAUGUAGCUCUUGUAAUCGAAAAUUAAACAUGGACUGCGCUCGGAGAAGCCUAUGCGGUUUUAUUUCGGACGCGGGUUCGAUUCCCGCCGUCUCCACCA
rnacentral:tmRNA from 1 species